rnacentral:lncRNA from 1 species
CAGGAAGAGGAGGAUUCCCCUGACACAAGGCUGCAGGGCUCACAAGCACUGACAAUUCACUCAUCAGUUUCAGGACCCAUGAAGACAGAGCCACAGAUUCCCCUGAACAGAAUGGCAAUUUUCGUGUGGUGUUAAUUUCCGUGGAAGAAGAAAAGGCUCGACUCUCUGUCCUAUUUUUCAUGAAUACUGGAAGUAGGGAAUAAACCUGGAGUCUCACGGGUGAAAAGAGACAUUUCCAUAUCACCAGACCACAAACGUGGGUGUUGAUUCUAAGGAUACCCCCAAUAAACAUCUUUCGUGCUAAAGCCCAUUCCAGAAUUUACUUCCCAGCUAUCUUUGAUGUUCAUAUUGUCAGAGGUGGUGGCCGCUGAAACAGGCAAAGACAUGGAGCAUAUCUUGGGUCCAGGACCUUGGGAGUCCAGAGGAAGGUCUUUUUACCAUCAGCAUUCUCUACUGUGUUCAAUGACUGUCAGCCAAAGAUGGCCAGGUUCUCUACUGUGAUGGUGAAUUUUAUGUGUCAAUUUGACUGGACCAUGGGAUGCCCAGCUUUCCUUCAGAAAGAAAUGCAUUCAAAGAACCUACAUUCACAACAUAAAGAAAUAAAGCACACACAAGACCGCCAAGCAUUAAGAUUCUCCUGUGGAGCCAGGCUACAAUCCUUUAAAUGAAGACAGACAGCUAGGUGGCUGCAGCCCAGCGCUACACCUCACCCCUCCCUCAGUGUCAUGCAGAAAAAAUGUAUUCAGAACUCAGAAGUGAAGUUGUGCAAAUCCAUCAUUGACACUAGCUUCAAGGUUACCUCGGGGGAGCAGAAUGUACCCCUGCCAGAGAGCUGGAUAGAUGAUGAUGGGGACAGAAAUUCUGGGGGAGUUGUAAAUGGCAGCCACUGCCUCUAUAGGAAACCCAAAGGGAACACAGCAGAAGAGGAGGUGGUGGAGGAGCCACUGCCCUCUCGAAGGGUUCAAUGUCAUUCUGCAGACACAACCAAAUAACUUUUUCUUCCCUGCUGCUCCUCCAUUUGAAAUGACAGCCCCGAGCUCGCUUUUUCCUUGAUUGUGUAACUCUGAUUACAGACAAGGCCAAGGCAAUCCCAGGGCAUUACUACAAAGCUAAGGGGUCCCCAAAGAACUAAAGAGUCAGCUCCACAAAAAUCCCGAUUCCUAGCAUGAAACUGAAAUAUGAAACCAAACGGGCAUAGAAAAGGUAUGUGCAUUCGAAUCACAUAGCAGUGACUGGAGUCCUGAGCUGUGUCUGAAGACUGUGAGAUCACGUUUGGAGCUGCUGAUUGGUUUUCAGUGAUGGCCCUGUUGCACAGUGCCGUGAGACUUAGCUCCAUGGCCAAAGACGAUGGUAUCCCCUAGGAGCCCUGUGAGGUUGCUGCUGUUCUCUUAAGACACCAGGUAGCCAUCUGAUCCUCCCUGAGCAAACUAACUGGGCAGACAGGUUUAUUAAACCUCUGUUGGUCCGACUUACAUGAAACAAGAGAGUUAUUUUGUUGUUGUUGUUUUGUUUUGUUUUAAAUUAAACCUGUCUUUGGAGCCUCCUGCUCUUAGUUUACAAGUCUUCUUUGCACACUCUAAUAUUUUAAGAAGCAGCAAACAUUAACUGAGGGUCUA